AAGAUCAUACUUCACGGAAUCAUUUCUAUAGUAUGUAUCCCUAGCUUCACAUCCAAUGUGUGUGAAGUCAGCCUUAACCACAAUGACGAGUGAUUGGAUCCCUUCCUGAGCGCGAUGUCGGUGCCCGAGACCUCCAUAACCUUAUAGGUUGAGAGGACUCGGCAGUGCCAUUGAUGACCGUUUCUGAAUACCAUUACAGGUGUUUCAGAAGGGAAGGGAUCCGUUCCGAGUGGU